rnacentral:snoRNA from 1 species
CUGUCUGAUGAUUAUCAAACUAAAUACUUUUGUUCUUCUGGUGCGCUAUUUUAUGGUGCGGUGCGGAAGCAAUUUGGAGACCUGAACUGAGGAAAU